AACGAACGCUGGCGGCGUGCCUAACACAUGCAAGUCGAGCGAGAAAGCCCGCAAGGGUGAGUAAAGCGGCGCACGGGUGCGUAACACGUGGGUAAUCUGCCCUGAAGUCCGGAAUAACUCGCCGAAAGGCGUGCUAAUGCCGGAUAAGACCACGGGAACCUCGGUUCCUGCGGGAAAAGGUGGCCUCUGUACACAAGCUAUCACUUCAGGAUGAGCCCGCGGCCCAUCAGCUAGUUGGCGGGGUAAUGGCCCACCAAGGCUACGACGGGUAGCAGGUCUAAGAGGACGAUCAGCGACACUGGAACUGAGAGACGGUCCAGACUCCUACGGGAGGCAGCAGUGGGGAAUCUUGCGCAAUGGGCGAAAGCCUGACGCAGCAACGCCGCGUGUGUGAUGAAGGUCUUCGGAUCGUAAAGCACUGUCGGGAGGGACGAAUAGGGCGCCGGCUAACAUCCGGCGCUGAUGACGGUACCUCCAAAGGAAGCACCGGCUGACUCUGUGCCAGCCGCCGCCGUAAAAC
rnacentral:rRNA from 1 species